UAGGGAAUCUUCCGCAAUGGACGCAAGUCUGACGGAGCAACGCCGCGUGAGUGAAGAAGGAUUUCGGUUCGUAAAACUCUGUUGUUAGAGAAGAACAGCGCAUAGAGUAACUGUUAUGCGUGUGACGGUAUCUAACCAGAAAGCCACGGCUAACUACGUGCCAGCAGCCGCGGUAAUACGUAGGUGGCAAGCGUUGUCCGGAUUUAUUGGGCGUAAAGCGAGCGCAGGCGGUCAAUUAAGUCUGAUGUGAAAGCCCCCGGCUAAACCGGGGAGGGUCAUUGGAAACGGGUUGACUUGAGUGCAGAAGAGGAGAGUGGAAUUCCAUGUGUAGCGGUGAAAUGCGUAGAUAUAUGGAGGAACACCAGUGGCGAAGGCGACUCUCUGGUCUGUAACUGACGCUGAGGCUCGAAAGCGUGGGUAGCAAACAGG
rnacentral:rRNA from 1 species